GUUCUCUCCCUCCUCUGCAAGACACUAUUGUUGAGCCUGCCACCGUCCAUGGCACUGGUUCUCAACAUUCUGUAAAGAAGUCACCUGAGUGGGAAACCUCUGUGUCUGGAAAGAGACAUAAGUUUGUCACUACUGCUGAGUCUCCUGAUAAAAAGUUUGUUCUGAUUGUUGGGAACUCACAUUUGAGGUCUGUUGUCGAU